rnacentral:rRNA from 1 species
GACGAACGCUGGCGGCGUGCUUAACACAUGCAAGUCGAACGGAAAGGCCCUGCUUUUGUGGGGUGCUCGAGUGGCGAACGGGUGAGUAACACGUGAGUAACCUGCCCUUGACUUUGGGAUAACUUCAGGAAACUGGGGCUAAUACCGGAUAGGAGCUCCUGCUGCAUGGUGGGGGUUGGAAAGUUUCGGCGGUUGGGGAUGGACUCGCGGCUUAUCAGCUUGUUGGUGGGGUAGUGGCUUACCAAGGCUUUGACGGGUAGCCGGCCUGAGAGGGUGACCGGCCAGAUUAGGACUGAGAGACGGCCCAGACUCCUACGGGGGACAGCAGUGGGGAAUAUUGCACAAUGGGCGGAAGCCUGAUGCAGAAACGCCGCGUGCGGGAUGACGGCCUUCGGGUUGUAAACCGCUUUCGCCUGUGACGAGGCGUGAGUGACGGUAAUGGGUAAAGAAGCACCGGCUAACUACGUG